AUCGCUUCUCGGCCUUUUGGCUAAGAUCAAGUGCAGUACCUGGCAUGUGGUUAAAUUGGGUGCAUGGAUAAAUGUACUGUAGCUAUUAUUAUAUGGUUGCACCAACUGAAAAUAAUUCCUAUUUAGAGUUACUCACUUCAACCAGGUGUCAAGAUAAUAACCACAUGCCAUUUCUGUCUACCUGAUUGGUU